UGGAUAAGAAGGAGGAGGGAAUAAAGCUUUGACAGAUGGUACUCAGCGUUUGACUCCUGCUGAGCUCAGCAGGACCUGUGGUUUCCAAGGUUAGGGCUGUCAAAAUGGCUGUGUCUAUCAAGUGAAUAACAAAGUGUAGACUGCCCGUCCGUUUCCUAUACAAAACUUAGAUUUCAUGUGCCAUCAUUGUUGGUCUUUCUGCUGAUUUAAUAACUUCCAAGAAGAACUGAGGAUUCUGAUGCAGCCUCACUGUUUAAGAAACUACUUGGAGAGGGAAUUCUCAAGGGCUGGAAGAGAGUCUUCAGAUAGAGAAAGUCUCUAGUGCUGAAAGAUAAGAGAGCUGAAUAACGUCAUCAACAUUUUUAUUUUGUCUUGUGCUGUUACAGGUAUUUUUCUUGCUCUGUUCCAUCCAUGCCUUUCCAUGGAGCAAAGAAACAAGUUAUCAACAAUCAGGGGCAUGGCAACUAUGAUUCCAUCAUUCACAAGUUCAAUUUCCUUCAAAAGAACAAGUGAUACUGUUAACCAGGCCCUGCAAGCACAUAUAAAACAAACAGCAUGACU